GGCCAGACUCCUACGGGAGGCAGCAGUGGGGAAUAUUGCACAAUGGGGGAAACCCUGAUGCAGCGACGCCGCGUGAGUGAAGAAGUAUUUCGGUAUGUAAAGCUCUAUCAGCAGGGAAGAAAAUGACGGUACCUGACUAAGAAGCCCCGGCCAACUACGUGCCAGCAGCCGCGGUAAUACGUAGGGGGCAAGCGUUAUCCGGAUUUACUGGGUGUAAAGGGAGCGUAGACGGCAUGGCAAGUCAGAUGUGAAAGCCCGGGGCUCAACCCCGGGACUGCAUUUGAAACUGUCAGGCUGGAGUGCAGGAGAGGUAAGUGGAAUUCCUAGUGUAGCGGUGAAAUGCGUAGAUAUUAGGAGGAACACCAGUGGCGAAGGCGGCUUACUGGACUGUAACUGACGUUGAGGCUCGAAAGCGUGGGGAGCAAACAGGAUUAGAUACCCUAGUA
rnacentral:rRNA from 1 species